rnacentral:rRNA from 1 species
UAACACAUGCAAGUCGAACGAGAACGGAUUUUAGUUUACUAAAAUUGUCAGCUAAGUGGCGCACGGGUGAGUAAUAUAUAGUUAACCUGCCCCAAAGAAGAGAAUAAUUGAUGGAAACGUCUUGUAACUCUCUAUAUGCCUUUAUCACAUAAGUGAGCAAGGGAAACAUUUAUGGCUUUGGGAUGGGACUGUACGGUAUCAGAUAGUUGGUGAGGUAAUGGCUCACCAAGUCAAUGACGCCUAACUGGUUUGAGAGGAUGAUCAGUCACACUGGAACUGAGACACGGUCCAGACUCCUACGGGAGGCAGCAGUGGGGAAUAUUGCACAAUGGGCGCAAGCCUGAUGCAGCCAUGCCGCGUGUAUGAAGAAGGCCUUCGGGUUGUAAAGUACUUUCAGCGGGGAGGAAGGCGACGGGGUUAAUAACCGCGUCGAUUGACGUUACCCGCAGAAGAAGCACCGGCUAACUCCGUGCCAGCAGCCGCGGUAAUACGGAGGGUGCAAGCGUUAAUCGGAAUU